GCUGGGCGUGGUGGCGCGUGCCUGUAAUCCCAGCUACUCAGGAGGCUGAGGUGGGGGAAUCGCUUGAGCCCUGGAGGCGGAAGUUGCAGUGAGCCGAGAUCGCGCCACUGUACUCCAGCCUGGGCGACAGAGCAAGACCCCAUCUCAA
rnacentral:SRP_RNA from 1 species